GGAAGAGGGAAAGAAAGACUUUUGCCCAACGUUAUGAAUUAAAUUGUCGAUUCCAUCAGUUAACCCUUUGUCUGCCAAAGGACUAUAUAAUGCCUUGUAAGACAAUAUACCACUACUUUGCAGCACGUAGAGUUCUCUUGAUUGCAGUUACUCUGUGAACCUUUGCGUGUCCAUUUAAAUACCCUUGAAUUACUGCGUGUGUAUGUGUGCAGGAUUUUUUUAUUUUUUUUUGCC